GGGUUGUGAGGUUAAGCGACUAAGCGUACACGGUGGAUGCCCUGGCAGUCAGAGGCGAUGAAGGACGUGCUAAUCUGCGAUAAGCGUCGGUAAGGUGAUAUGAACCGUUAUAACCGGCGAUUUCCGAAUGGGGAAACCCAGUGUGAUUCGUCACACUAUCAUUAACUGAAUCCAUAGGUUAAUGAGGCGAACCGGGGGAACUGAAACAUCUAAGUACCCCGAGGAAAAGAAAUCAACCGAGAUUCCCCCAGUAGCGGCGAGCGAACGGGGAGCAGCCCAGAGCCUGAAUCAGUGUGUGUGUUAGUGGAAGCGUCUGGAAAGGCGCGCGAUACAGGGUGACAGCCCCGUACACAAAAAUGCACAUACUGUGAGCUCGAUGAGUAGGGCGGGACACGUGGUAUCCUGUCUGAAUAUGGGGGGACCAUCCUCCAAGGCUAAAUACUCCUGACUGACCGAUAGUGAACCAGUACCGUGAGGGAAAGGCGAAAAGAACCCCGGCGAGGGGAGUGAAAAAGAACCUGAAACCGUGUACGUACAAGCAGUGGGAGCACGCUUAGGCGUGUGACUGCGUACCUUUUGUAUAAUGGGUCAGCGACUUAUAUUCUGUAGCAAGGUUAACCGAAUAGGGGAGCCGAAGGGAAACCGAGUCUUAACUGGGCGUUAAGUUGCAGGGUAUAGACCCGAAACCCGGUGAUCUAGCCAUGGGCAGGUUGAAGGUUGGGUAACACUAACUGGAGGACCGAACCGACUAAUGUUGAAAAAUUAGCGGAUGACUUGUGGCUGGGGGUGAAAGGCCAAUCAAACCGGGAGAUAGCUGGUUCUCCCCGAAAGCUAUUUAGGUAGCGCCUCGUGAAUUCAUCUCCGGGGGUAGAGCACUGUUUCGGCAAGGGGGUCAUCCCGACUUACCAACCCGAUGCAAACUGCGAAUACCGGAGAAUGUUAUCACGGGAGACACACGGCGGGUGCUAACGUCCGUCGUGAAGAGGGAAACAACCCAGACCGCCAGCUAAGGUCCCAAAGUCAUGGUUAAGUGGGAAACGAUGUGGGAAGGCCCAGACAGCCAGGAUGUUGGCUUAGAAGCAGCCAUCAUUUAAAGAAAGCGUAAUAGCUCACUGGUCGAGUCGGCCUGCGCGGAAGAUGUAACGGGGCUAAACCAUGCACCGAAGCUGCGGCAGCGACGCUUAUGCGUUGUUGGGUAGGGGAGCGUUCUGUAAGCCUGCGAAGGUGUGCUGUGAGGCAUGCUGGAGGUAUCAGAAGUGCGAAUGCUGACAUAAGUAACGAUAAAGCGGGUGAAAAGCCCGCUCGCCGGAAGACCAAGGGUUCCUGUCCAACGUUAAUCGGGGCAGGGUGAGUCGACCCCUAAGGCGAGGCCGAAAGGCGUAGUCGAUGGGAAACAGGUUAAUAUUCCUGUACUUGGUGUUACUGCGAAGGGGGGACGGAGAAGGCUAUGUUGGCCGGGCGACGGUUGUCCCGGUUUAAGCGUGUAGGCUGGUUUUCCAGGCAAAUCCGGAAAAUCAAGGCUGAGGCGUGAUGACGAGGCACUACGGUGCUGAAGCAACAAAUGCCCUGCUUCCAGGAAAAGCCUCUAAGCAUCAGGUAACAUCAAAUCGUACCCCAAACCGACACAGGUGGUCAGGUAGAGAAUACCAAGGCGCUUGAGAGAACUCGGGUGAAGGAACUAGGCAAAAUGGUGCCGUAACUUCGGGAGAAGGCACGCUGAUAUGUAGGUGAAGUCCCUCGCGGAUGGAGCUGAAAUCAGUCGAAGAUACCAGCUGGCUGCAACUGUUUAUUAAAAACACAGCACUGUGCAAACACGAAAGUGGACGUAUACGGUGUGACGCCUGCCCGGUGCCGGAAGGUUAAUUGAUGGGGUCAGCGCAAGCGAAGCUCUUGAUCGAAGCCCCGGUAAACGGCGGCCGUAACUAUAACGGUCCUAAGGUAGCGAAAUUCCUUGUCGGGUAAGUUCCGACCUGCACGAAUGGCGUAAUGAUGGCCAGGCUGUCUCCACCCGAGACUCAGUGAAAUUGAACUCGCUGUGAAGAUGCAGUGUACCCGCGGCAAGACGGAAAGACCCCGUGAACCUUUACUAUAGCUUGACACUGAACAUUGAGCCUUGAUGUGUAGGAUAGGUGGGAGGCUUUGAAGUGUGGACGCCAGUCUGCAUGGAGCCGACCUUGAAAUACCACCCUUUAAUGUUUGAUGUUCUAACGUUGACCCGUGAUCCGGGUUGCGGACAGUGUCUGGUGGGUAGUUUGACUGGGGCGGUCUCCUCCUAAAGAGUAACGGAGGAGCACGAAGGUUGGCUAAUCCUGGUCGGACAUCAGGAGGUUAGUGCAAUGGCAUAAGCCAGCUUGACUGCGAGCGUGACGGCGCGAGCAGGUGCGAAAGCAGGUCAUAGUGAUCCGGUGGUUCUGAAUGGAAGGGCCAUCGCUCAACGGAUAAAAGGUACUCCGGGGAUAACAGGCUGAUACCGCCCAAGAGUUCAUAUCGACGGCGGUGUUUGGCACCUCGAUGUCGGCUCAUCACAUCCUGGGGCUGAAGUAGGUCCCAAGGGUAUGGCUGUUCGCCAUUUAAAGUGGUACGCGAGCUGGGUUUAGAACGUCGUGAGACAGUUCGGUCCCUAUCUGCCGUGGGCGCUGGAGAAUUGAGGGGGGCUGCUCCUAGUACGAGAGGACCGGAGUGGACGCAUCACUGGUGUUCGGGUUGUCAUGCCAAUGGCACUGCCCGGUAGCUAAAUGCGGAAGAGAUAAGUGCUGAAAGCAUCUAAGCACGAAACUUGCCCCGAGAUGAGUUCUCCCUGAC
rnacentral:rRNA from 1 species